AGGGAGUAAAGUUAAUACCUUUGCUCAUUGACGUUACCCGCAGAAGAAGCACCGGCUAACUCCGUGCCAGCAGCCGCGGUAAUACGGAGGGUGCAAGCGUUAAUCGGAAUUACUGGGCGUAAAGCGCACGCAGGCGGUUUGUUAAGUCAGAUGUGAAAUCCCCGGGCUCAACCUGGGAACUGCAUCUGAUACUGGCAAGCUUGAGUCUCGUAGAGGGGGGUAGAAUUCCAGGUGUAGCGGUGAAAUGCGUAGAGAUCUGGAGGAAUACCGGUGGCGAAGGCGGCCCCCUGGACGAAGACUGACGCUCAGGUGCGAAAGCGUGGGGAGCAAACAGGAUUAGAUACCCCUGUAGUCGAAGACAAGUCAAUUAGAUACCCCUGUAGUC
rnacentral:rRNA from 1 species